CGACUGUUUAAUAAAAACACAGGCGACUGCUAGUCCGAAAGGAUUUGUAUAGUCGCUGAAUCCUGGCCGGUGCGGGUACCUAAAACUUGGGUUCAACCGAGCUAAGGGCCCGUUAACGCCGGGAGUAACUCUGACUCUCUUAAGGUAGCCAAAUGCCUUGUCGGGUAAGUUCCGACGCGCAUGAAUGGAACAACGAGAGCCCCACUGUCCCCGCCUACAACCCGGUGAAGCCACAUAAGGUGGACGAACAGUCCAUCAUCUUCCAUCGGGGAGAGAAGACCCCGUGGAGUUUUACUGCAGCUUGUGCUUGUAGUAUAGUACGGAUUACAUAGUGUAUCUGGUAGCCAUGCCUGAAUUUCUUUGGGAAUUCAGUGAAGCGACGAUGUAACACCAGAUUAUUCUUGCAGUACUUCUUAUCUGAUGCAAAUCAGAAACAGGUGCAGGUAGGCAGUUCGGCUGGGGCGGCACCCCUUUGAAAAGAUAUCAAAGGGGCCCAAAGUUUAGUUCAAACGGGUCAGAAAUCCGUUGAAGAGGGCAAAGCCAAAAACUAGACUGACAGGAUUUCCAAACGCACGGAAUUCUGAGACGAAAGUCUGGCUUAGCGAUCCUUCGUGUGCCCACUAUUGGGGCCCGGAGGUGACAGAAAAAUUACCCCAGGGAUAACAGGCUCGUCGCGGGCGAGAGCUCCUAUCGACCCCGCGGUUUGGUACCUCGAUGUCGGCUUUUCCUAUCCUGGUCCUGCAGCAGGGGCCAAGGGUGAGGCUGCUCGCCUAUUAAAAGGGAACAUGAGCUGGGUUUAGACCGUCGUGAGACAGGUCGGUCUCUGCCUGAUGGAAGCGCGGCUGUCUGAGGGGAAGUUGCUCUCAGUACGAGAGGAACAGAGCAACGUGGCCACUGGUCUACCGGCUGUCUGAUAAGGCAGGCCGGGCAGCUAAGCCGUUUGGAUUAAGUGCUGAAAGCAUCUAAGCACGAAACCCAUCCCGAGACAAGACAGCCUUUCGUAAGAUGAAGGUUCGCAGAAGAAGACUGCGUUGAUAGGAUGGAUGUGUAGAUCACAAGCUUCGGCGAGUGAUGAGCAUGCCAUUACUAAUAGACCAACACAUCAGC
rnacentral:rRNA from 1 species